rnacentral:lncRNA from 11 species
UCAUGCUUCAUUAGAGAUGCUGAGCUAUUGCUCUGUCCUGCAGAAGGGGCAGAUUGAGAUCUCAGUUGGGCUUGUUUUCCUUUGAUGAAAAAGGCAUGGCACAGUUACUAAGAGCCGAGAUAAGCAUCUGGAAAGAAAAACUUGAAAG